rnacentral:rRNA from 1 species
GCCGCGUGAGGUGAUGACGGCCUUUCGGGUUGUAAACCUCUUUCGUCGGGACGAAACGCAGGUGACGGUACCUGCAUAGUAAUCACCGGCCAACUACAUGCCACCAGCCGCGGUUAUACGUAGGGUGCGAGCGUUGUCCGGAAUUAGUGGGCGUAAAGGGCUCGUACGGGGUUUGUCACGUCCGGAGUGAAAGCUCGGGGCUUAACUCCAAGCCUGCUUCCGAUACGGGCAGACUACAGGUAAGCCGGGGAGAACGGAAUUCCUGGUGUAGCGGUGAAAUGCCCAGAUAUCAAGAGGAACACCGGUGGCGAAGGCGGUUCUUUGGGGAUUACCUGACGCUCAGGAGCGAAAGUGUGGGGAGCGAACAGGAUUAGAUACCCUGGUAGUCCAUACCGUACACGGUGGGCGCUAGGUGUGGGACACAUUCCACGUGUUCCGUGCCGCAUCUGACGCAUUAAGCGCCCCGCCUGGGGAGUACGGCCGCAAGGGUAAAACUCAGAGGAAUUGACGGGGGCCCGCACAAGCGGCGGAGCAUGCGGAUUAAUUCGAUGCAUCGCGAAGAAUCUUACCUGGGUUUGACAUACACCGGAGAGCUCUAGAGAUAGAGCCCCUU